GGUGGCUCAGUGGUAGAGUGCUUGCCUUGCAAGCGAGAGGCCUUGGGUUCGAUUCCUCAGCACCA
rnacentral:tRNA from 1 species